rnacentral:rRNA from 1 species
GAGUUUGAUCAUGGCUCAGGACGAACGCUGACGGUGUGCUUUAGACAUGCAAGUCGAACGAGAAAGCCCUUCGGGGUGAGUACAGUGGCGAACGGGUGAGUAACACGUGGGUAACCUGCCCCUCGCAGGGGGACAACCGGGGGAAACCCCGGCUAAUACCCCGUACGCUAGCCGGGCCGCAUGGCCCUGGCAAGGAAAGGUAGCUUCGGCCAUCCGGCGAGGGAUGGGCCCGCGGUGCAUUAUCUAGUUGGUGGGGUAAUGGCCUACCAAGGCGACGAUGCAUAGCUGGUCUGAGAGGAUGAUCAGCCACACUGGGACUGAGACACGGCCCAGACUCCUACGGGAGGCAGCAGUCGGGAAUCUUGCGCAAUGGGCGAAAGCCUGACGUAGCAACACCGUGUGGGCGACGAAGGCCUUCGGGUCGUAAAGCCCUGUUGUUGGGGACGAAGGGCGAAGGGUUAAUAGCCCCUAGCCUGACGGUACCCUUCGAGGAAGCCCCCGGCUAACUACGUGCCAGCAGCCGCGGUAAUACGUGGGGGGCGAGCGUUGUCCGGAAUUAUUGGGCGUAAAGAGCGUGUAGGCGGUUCGGUAAGUCUGCCGUGAAAACCUGGGGCUCAACCCCGGGCGUGCGGUGGAUACUGUCGGGCUAGAGGGUGGUAGAGGCGAGUGGAAUUCCCGGUGUAGCGGUGAAAUGCGCAGAUAUCGGGAGGAACACCAGUAGCGAAAGCGGCUCGCUGGGCCAUUCCUGACGCUGAGACGCGAAAGCUAGGGGAGCGAACAGGAUUAGAUACCCUGGUAGUCCUAGCCGUAACGAUGAACACUAGGUGUGGGGGGAGUCGAAUCUCCCUGUGCUGAAGUCCAACGCGUUAAGUGUUCCGCCUGGGGAGUACGGCCGCAAGGCUUAAAACUCAAAGGAAUUGACGGGGGCCCGCACAAGCAGCGGAGCGUGUGGUUUAAUUC